CCCUUAGAUGUUCUGGGCUGCACGCGUGCUACAAUGGCGUUUCCAGCAAGUCUGCGAACCCGAGAGGGCCAGCGGAUCUUCGAAUUGGCGUCGUGAUCGGGACAGUCGAUUGCAAUUAUUUGACUCAAACGAGGGAUUCCUUGUAAUCGCGAUUCAUCAUAUCGCGCUGAAUACGUCCCUGCCCUUUGUACACACCGCCCGUCGCUCCUACCGAUUGAGCGAUCCGGUAAAUGUUUUGGAUUGGUGCCGGGGCGGCUAGCUGCCGGUCGCUACGAAAUUUUGUGAACCUUAUCGCUUAGAGGAAGGAAAAGUCGUAACA
rnacentral:rRNA from 1 species